CAGUUUCAAGGGGUAUAUAGCCCUCCCCCUUAGCCUUUCCCCUCUGUCUAAUUGAGAAUCGGAACAACACUACCUCUUCACAUGUACGCGCAAAAGGGAGGGGUAGGGGUAAAAGGGGAGGGGCCAAGGGGUAAAUUGGGAUUCAUCCUUAG